CGUAUCUGGAAGUGAUUGGYUGUUGGUYGAUAAUGUUCUCGAACAGGCUUAAUAUGCAAUUCAGCGAUACCGGUCAGCGAYGYUAUUGCUUUGGGUACUUUCAGGACCCGUCUUGAAACACGGACCAAGGAGUCUAACAUGUACGCGAGUCAUUGGGAAURUUAAAACCUAAAGGCGUAUUGAAAGAAAAGAUCGGUCUUGUGCCGAUUAAGGGAUGAUAAGCUUACAUUAUUUUAAUGGAGCUUCGCACUCCCGGGGCGUCUCUUAAAGUCAUUGYGACUUGAGGUGCACCUAGAGCGUACACGUUGGGACCCGAAAGAUGGUGAACUAUGCCUGGUCAGGAUGAAGUCAGGGGAAACCCUGAUGGAGGUCCGUAGCGUAUCUGACGUGCAAAUCGAUCGUCGGAAC
rnacentral:rRNA from 1 species